AAUUAGUUUUACUCUGGCUUUCGUUAAAUUAAACCAAUUUCUGUGCAUGCAAAUACUAGUAAAUUUUAAAAAUAAAAUAGCAGUACAUAAAAUUACACAAUUAGUGAAAACUAGAUGAAAAAAAGGUUUUAAAGAUAGAAAAAAUUGUGCCAGCAUCUGCGGUUAUACAAUUAUCUUAAAUUUAAUAUAUAGGAAAUUAAAAAAAAAAGAAAAUUACAAUAUUUGGUACAAUAAAUAAAUAAUAUAUCUUUUUUUUUUAAAGUGAAAUUCUCAUAUAGAACUAGGAUUAGAUACCCUACUACUACUGACCGUAAAUUAGUAAAUAAACCAGGGCAUUACAAGCUAUGCUUAAAACCUAAAGAGUUUGGCGGCUUUUUUUUUCCAGGGGAGCUUGUCUUUUAAACGAUAAUCCGCGAUAAUUCUCACUUAUUAAAAAGUUUGUAUACCUCCGUUAAGUUAAUAUUAAAAAUAAAAAUAAUUAGCUCAAAUAAAAAAUUAAACCUCAGGUAAAGGUGCAACCAAUAAAUAAGCUAAUGAUGAGCUACUUUAAUAUAUUAAUAGAUAUUUUUUAUAAAUAAAAAAAAAAACAGUACUUGGUAGUAAUUUUUUUUUAAAAUAAUAAAAUGAAUAAAAUAAAAAAAGUGCACAAAUCGCCCGUCAAUUCCAUCAUUCAAUGGAAUAAGUCGUAACAAAGUAGGCGUACCUGAAGGUGUGCCU
rnacentral:ncRNA from 1 species